rnacentral:rRNA from 1 species
GACGAACGCUGGCGGCGUGCUUAACACAUGCAAGUCGAACGGAAAGGCCCUGCUUUUGUGGGGUGCUCGAGUGGCGAACGGGUGAGUAACACGUGAGUAACCUGCCCUUGACUUUGGGAUAACUUCAGGAAACUGGGGCUAAUACCGGAUAGGAGCUCCUGCUGCAUGGUGGGGGUUGGAAAGUUUCGGCGGUUUGGGAUGGACUCGCGGCUUAUCCGCUUGUUGGUGGGGUAGUGGCUUACCAAAGCUUUGACAGGUAGCCGGCCUGAGAGGGUGACCGGACACACUAGGAUGGAGAUAAGGCACAGACUAGAAUGGGAGGCAGCGGUGGGGAAGAGAGCACUAGGGGAGGAAGGCUGAUGCAGCAAAGCAGCGUGGGGGAAGACGGCAUUCGGGUAGUAAACCGAUGUCGCCUGAGACGGGGCGUGAGUGACGGUAACGGGUGAAGAAGCACCGGCUAACUACGUG